rnacentral:rRNA from 1 species
UACGGAGGGAGCUAGCGUUAUUCGGAAUUAUUGGGCGUAAAGCGCACGUAGGCGGCUUUGUAAGUUAGAGGUGAAAGCCCGGGGCUCAACUCCGGAACUGCCUUUAAGACUGCAUCGCUUGAAUCAUGGAGAGGUUAGUGGAAUUCCGAGUGUAGAGGUGAAAUUCGUAGAUAUUCGGAAGAACACCAGUGGCGAAGGCGGCUCACUGGUCCAUAACUGACGCUGAGGUGCGAAAGCGUGGGGAGCAAACAGG